GUAUCUUCGGAUACAUAUACUAAAAUUGGAACGAUACAGAGAAGAUUAGCAUGGCCCCUGCGCAAGGAUGACACGCAAAAUCGUGAAGCGUUCCACAUUUUU
rfam:Tropilaelaps mercedesae isolate Wuxi-XJTLT scaffold0000019040, whole genome shotgun sequence.